UUUACUUCUCUAGUUGUAGGACUUCCAUUCAGCCAGCUUUCUGGCAGUUCUGGAUGAUGCUUGUUCUGCAUUUUAGUUGUAAU
rfam:Myotis brandtii contig161286, whole genome shotgun sequence.